rnacentral:rRNA from 1 species
AACGAACGCUGGCGGCAUGCCUAACACAUGCAAGUCGAACGAGACCUUCGGGUCUAUUGGCGCACGGGUGCGUAACGCGUGGGAAGCUGCCCUUAGGUUCGGAAUAACUCAGUGAAAUUUGAGCUAAUACCGGAUGAUGUCUUCGGACCAAAGAUGUAUCGCCUUUCGAUGGGCCCGCGUUGGAUUCGCUAGUUGGUGGGGUAAUGGCCUACCAACGCGACGAUCCAUAGCUGGUCUGAGAGGAUGAUCAGCCACACUGGGACUGAGACACGGCCCAGACUACUACGCAAGGCAGCAGUAGGGAAUAUAGGGCGAUGGGCGAUAGGCAGAUCCAGCAGUGCCGCGUAAGUGAUGAAGGCCUUAGGGUUGUGAGGCUCUUUUACCCGAGGUGUUAAUGACGGUAUCGGGAGAAUAAGCACCGGCUAACUCCGUG